rnacentral:lncRNA from 1 species
CCCCUCCCUCCUCGUACAGUUCACGUUAGAAUACCACCACUACCCAUGGGCCGCCACAAACCCGCCUGCCGGAAAUCGGCGCAAGUGGCGGUGUAACCCUAAUACAUUCCAAAUUUACACCGUAGAAGCGUCCCACUCCCCUCUUCCCGUUUCCAUAUGGAUCAUAUUUCAAAUCCUCGCCAAUAUGCUUGAAUAUCCAGUUAAAGCAUGGCGGCUCCGCCGUCUACGGCGACGGCCGGUGGCAGACCGCCCUCAAACCAACACCAAUGAUUUCUCUCACCACCUCCACCCUCGCCUUACCAGUAUCUACCCUCAAACACAGCCUCAACACCUCAAAUACUGACCUGAAGACGGCAGCACCACCAUGCACAGUGGGGACUGUCGUCCACAUCCACUCAACGCCACCCACUGCCGUCAAACACCAUCAAAACACUACCAAUCAUUAUAUAACCACACCUAAAAAUCACUUUGUAUUUCACCCAAUACCCCCCCCCCCCCCCCCCCCCCCCCCCCCCAAAAAAAAAAAAAAAAAAAAAAAAAAACCCAAGCCCUCUCAAGGAACCCCUAGGCCCCUCAAAUGUUAGCAAUGACCAUGGCUGCAUUCACGCCACAUUUUAGAGAUCUAUUGGCUCGAAUUUGUUUCAGCAAAGUUAAUAAAAGAAACAGUAAGUUCACUUUGAUUUCAUUCUGUUAGUUUUUUAAAAAAUCUGGAUUCAUCUCUUCUAGAUUGAAAAACAUGUUAUUAGAUUUUUAGGAAUAAUAGUUGUGAGCAUGUCUGUUUUGUUGAGCCAAAUUAGCCGGGUCUAUUUAUUGUUAUACUUGUUCUUAGUUUAAAUCUGAGAUUCGGCGUGCUUUCUUUAAUCCCUGUUAUUUGAGGGUUAGUCCGAGUUCACUUUGAGAUGAUUUUGAUUGCUUGCAAUUUCCUUGUUUGAUUUCUUGAUUUGUUGAGUAUACAUAUCAGUCAAUAAUUUGAGGUGAUGGUUUCUGAAUAGUUGGGUAUUGGACUUAUUUGCUGAAGGUUAUUUAGCAUUUUUCUUUGUUUAGUAUCGAAUUGAUUUGAUUAGGAGGGCUAAAUACCAAGUAAGUAGCUCAAAGGUAGUACAGGAUAUUCCUCCUUAUUUUCUAAUAAUUUUAGGACAAAUAAGAGUAAUAUAGAACUUUUAACUUAGCUCUGGUAAUAUUAGGGACAAAAUAAGGGUAAUAUAGAACUUUCAACUUAGCUUUGGUAAUAUUAGGGACAAAAUAAGGGUAAUAUGGGUAGUCCAUGAAGGGUAGAUGAUGGUAGAAGUGUUUAGGUCCUUCCAGAAAGGGUCUUAGUUCAAUAUCAGUAGAUUUAUUGCAUUAACUUGGGCAACAAGUCAAAAAAUGAAGGUCCAAAUAUGUAAAAACUUGAAACUGAAGGGAGGACCUUUAGUAAAAAAUAAUAAUAAAGUUGCCCUAGCUAUUUGGCUAUAAAAAGAGAUUGAAAACCACUGAAGGGGGUGGGGGAAAAAGAGGGAAGCAAAGAAACUGCUAGAAAAUAUAUACAUAUUACUGCAAUUAACCCUUGCUCUUUAAAAAAAAGCUUCUCAUUCUGAAAAUCUGGAGUUAUUCGAUUGUUUGAUUUGAGUGGGGGUACAUGAUGAUUUGAAGCCAGUUCUGGAUCUUUGUUUUGUUUCAUUUCUUAAAGUUGAAAGCUAUCCUGCCAUCUAUUCUCUAAUUGCUUGGGAGCUGGGUUUAUCUGAGCUGCUGUAAUUACCAUUACUCUGCUCUUUGCAUGCUCAACCCUCAUCUUCACUCUUUUCCAUCUUCCAGGUAUAUUUUUAAUCCAUGGAUCCCACACGAAUAUAGAAUGAAGCUCUGAUUUUGGAAUGUAGAUGUUCAGUUAUCACAUCUCCUUACCUUGUCUCACCUGGUUGAUAAAUUUGUGUAAUGUAUAGUUGAGCACCCCAUUUACAGGACUUUUAAUUAGGAAUACAUUCCUCUUAUUUAACCCUGCAUUUAACCGUUGUGAUGUAAUAAUAAUAUAGUAAAUGGCUUCCCUAUCUUGUGUUUAGGGCUGGUAUGAAUUCUGAAGCGUCCAUGAUUUGCAUGUUUGCUUAAAAGUGUGAUAUAAAAACUGCCUGAAAAUUUAUUAGGGCCUUGGUAUGGUGAUAGCAUGGCUAGUCAACAAUAUAGUCUUCAUGAUUCAUACAAUGUAUAUGUAUUCACAACUGACUCAAAUGAGUGCGCCAAGGCUGUUAAUAGGCUAACAAAUGUAAGCCUAUUUUGGUCUCAAUCAAGGUCUGAACAAAAUUGAUGAAUUUUUUGGGCAUUUGAGGUCUGUUAGCAAUAUGCUUUGUGCCCAGGCCUUUAGUUACUCGUGUACUUAACCCUGUUUAGGGCCAAUCAAUCAUUUGGCUCAUUAGCUUUAGUAAUCAUACACAUAUGUGAUCUUUGAGACUCAGUUUGAAUCUGUAGUUUAGUAUUAAAUGGGAAUCCUUUCCUUUGAAGGCAGAGUAAUUGGGCUGUUAAUUUCAUUAAAUUCACUAGUCCAUCCGUAUGUAUAAUUUCAUUUGUUGUGUAAAUAUGAAGAAAUUGCCGUUGGCUCCCAAAGCUAAGGUAGCCAAGCAGGUCUCCAUCGAGGCCCAGCUGAUGUGCGUGCCCGGGCCGUCCGGUGUGGCAUUAAAAAUUAAAAUUCUGCAUUUAAUUUUCAAAAUUUAUCAGCCUUAACAUCAAUUAUUCCAUGAGUCAUCUUAUGUAAAAUACAGAACUCAAUACGCUUAGAACUCGAGACGUGCCGUUUAGCGAAUUUUCACGGCCCCUCGCAAAGAUAAUAAUGCCUAGUUGCUUUAGGCGCGUGUUUAAUAAUAUUACUUUCCUAAUUUUUGGUGCACAUUUAAGUGACCCAAAUUCAAAUCUCAAUGAAGUUGGAAUGUGUCGAAAACCACGGGUGCAUUUAUGUGACGUGGUUCGAGACAUGUUUCAACGACGUUGCAACUUUCUUUUAAAAUAAUAAUAAAAGUGGCUAAAAUAUUAAAAAUGCACUUAGG